rnacentral:rRNA from 1 species
GGAGGGUGCGAGCGUUAUCCGGAUUUAUUGGGUUUAAAGGGUACGUAGGCGGUGAGGUCAGUCAGUGGUGAAAGCCAGCAGCUUAACUGUUGAAUUGCCAUUGAUACUGCCACACUAGAGUUUAGUCGAGGUGGGUGGAAUUCCACAUGUAGUGGUGAAAUGCAUAGAUAUGUGGAGGAACACCGAUAACGAAGGUAACUCACUAGGCUAAUACUGACGCUGAGGUACGAAAGCGUGGGGGAGCGAACGGGAUUAGAGACCCCGGUAGUCCACGCCGUAAACGAUGGUCACUCGAUAUAUAUUCUUUUGAAUAUGUGUCCAAGCGAAAGCGUUAAGUGACCCCACCUGGGGAUACGCCCCGCAAGGGUG